ensembl:lncRNA novel transcript
ACCAAAACUAUAUAGAGGAGAAAGUAGGACAACUUUAGAAGUUUAUGAGAUGACAUGAAAAUGAGACAUGAAAACAAUCCAGGGGCAACGUGAGAAUAUAUAUUUCAGUGGAACCAUGUCCUCUGCCAUCCAUAGCUGUCAUCCAGAAAAUAUUUAUUGAAUACCCACUACUCUAUUAGAAAAUGAUCAUAACUCUCCUCCCUCUUACAUUAUCCAUUAUUUGGACCUGAGGUAAAAUGUUGAAUCGAUCAAAAGUAUUUCUCACAUUUUUGGUCUUUAUUUGAUGGAAAAUGCUCAAUAAAUUGGACAAUUCACUGGACUUGAGCUUAAGAUCUACUAUUGAUUGAUAUUAUUAUUUCAUGUAUUCAAAAAAUACUUACUGAGCACUUAGUAUAUGCCAGAUACUGUUCUAGACACCUGGGAUACAAAAGAGAUAAAAUUUCCUGUUGUCAUGAGCUUUCCUUCUAGAAGGGAAAGACAGGCAAUGAACAAAUAAGUAAAAUACAGCAUUUUAAAUGACAAUAAGUGCUACAGAAAAUGAAAAGCAGGACUGGGGACAAGGACUGCUUGGAGAAGGUUGUAAUUUUAAAUAAAGUGGUCAGGAAAGGCCACACGGACAAGGUGAUGUUGGAGAAAAGAUCUGAAAGAAAUCAAAGUUUGCACCAUGUGGUUAUCUGUGAGAGGCGUCUUCCAGGGAGAGAGGACCCUGAGGCGGGAGGGUGUUUGAUGUGUUCUAGUAACAGCCAGGAGGCUAGUGCCCAUAGAACCACAUGAAUAACAGUAUGUG